rnacentral:rRNA from 1 species
AUGUCGUUUGGACUGACUAACGCCCCUGCCUAUUUCAUGAGCAUGAUGAACAAGGUGUUCAUGGAGUAUUUGGACAAGUUUGUUGUGGUGUUUAUUGAUGAUAUCAUGGUAUACUCGAAGAACGAGGAGGAGCACAAAGAGCAUUUGCGUUUAGUUCUCGAGAAGCUCAGGGAACACCAGUUGUAUGCUAAGUUUAGCAAAUGCGAGUUUUGGCUGAAGGAAGUCGGAUUCCUUGGACAUGAUAUAUCAGGAGAAGGUAUAGCAGUAGACCCCAGCAAGGUUCAGUCAGUCACUGAAUGGUUGGCACCCACCUCAGUUAGCGAGAUCCGCAGUUUUCUUGGACUCGCAGGAUACUACCGGAGAUUCAUUGAGAAUUUUUCCAAGAUUGCAAAACCAAUGACUGAACUGUGA